UAAUAAACACGAACAAGACGCGUUCCGAACAGUUUUAUUUUUUAUCAACAACUUUGCACGAUAAUGGUCGCCAGGUGAGCGCUUAAGACGACCAAGGCGAGCUGAGAUUUGUGGAUAUUGACACGUUUGGGAGACCAUUUAAGGAUACCAUAUUAACACAUCUGCCAGACCCACGUUCCCACUCUCUACAUGGGCUGCAGCCCGACCUGUAUGAAAAAGAUCACCCUGUCCCCUUCCACCAUGUCUUCCUGCUCCUCGGCCCAGCUUAGCCAGUUUGCCAAGGAGGUCAUACACUUCAGCUCGCAGUAUGGAGGCGACGGAUCCAUGGCAUACGUUGCCGCUAACCUGGCAGGAUCACCGGACGUCUUCCCGAACUAUGGGGAUUUCACUCAAGCUUGUGUUUUUCGUACAUAUGGGACAUGGUGGGAAAGGUCACCAUCAUCAGAGGGAAAGUUUGGUAAGACGGGUGACUUCAAAGGCAAUGACUUCAUAGACCUUUACUAUGAAGAGAAAGUUCUUCCUACUGCAAUCAAUAUCUACGAAACAUAUCAUCCGGGAUCGGUUAUUCAGAUAUGCGGUGCUGAAAUUGAAGGGCCUUCUGACAACGGGUCUCCGUUUUCACUCAGUAAUCAUGCAAGGUGGCAUGUAUUAUGGUCUGGUGAAGCUCAUGAUAAACAUUUUCAGCCUCAAAUGUUUUCCCCUCCCAUCAGAAAUAUCAAUGCAAAAACAAAUCUGAUUCGCCUAGUCUUUGACCACCGCAGCAGCGAUUACUACACGGAACUAGACAGCGUGGAGCUAAUCGGCAUGACAUCGCUUCAAGAUGAGGGAACAGAUCUGGACGAUGUGUACCUCCAUCGUCUUCAGGAGCUUUCCCUGAAGGAGGAGAGGUCCAAGGGUUCUUAUGAGUAUCCCGUCCAAGCCUUGCCCACCAUGGACAAUGGCUGCUUUGAUAUGCUGCCAGGUGAACUAAUCCAGCUGAUAUUUCGAUACCUAAGUCUGGAUGACCUGUGUGUUGCUGCCACAACGUGUACUCUGUUUAGGAAACAUUGUUACGACCAGCUGCUCUACGUAGAACUCAACCUACAACCUUAUUGGAUGAUGGUAUCUGGAGACUCAUUAUAUGGUUUAACAGAAAGAUGUAGUCAGCUACAGAUGUUGGAUUUAUCAUGGUGUGGAGACUGGGAUAAAAUCACAUCCAAAGAUUUCAAUAGUUUUCUAUUUUCAUGUGGAAGUGAACUCAAGUCACUAAGGCUGAAGGCAUGUCGGUUUGUGACGGCAGACUCGCUUGAAGCCAUUGCAUCUGUGUGUACCAAACUCAAAGAACUGAAUCUGUCAUCCUGCCGCAGUCUUAAACCUAACAGCUACGGAUGUCUGCAUUCACUCAAGAAUCUAGAAAGACUCAACUUGUAUCGGGCCAAAAUCACUGAGGCAGAAAUGAUCCAGAUCUUCAGCCACACCCCCCAUAUAAGACAUCUCAACCUAGGAGGUAUACGGUUCAUUGUCACCUUGGACAACGUCAUGCAACAACUAGCAAAGACAUGUCCGCAUUUGGAAAGUCUAGAUUUAUGGAGAGCUAAAACAUUGUCUUUCGUUGGAUUGGGUCACAUUGCAGCUGGCUGCCCCAAUCUUCUAGAACUUGAUGUAGGAUGGUGCUCUGAUCUAAGUGUAAAUACAACAUGGCUGAGGAAGCUUGUAUGCAACUGUCCCAGGCUCAAAAAGCUCUUCUUAACUUCUAUACGGAGUAUAGCCGACUGUGACCUUCAUUCUAUAGCAUCUAAUUUACCAGAUCUAGAACAGUUGGAUCUACUAGGUGCCCAGCGUGUAAGCCAGCAAGGUAUAACAAGGGUAUUGGAUAAAUGUUCAAAGUUAAUCUUUCUUGAUGUGUCUUUCUGCCAACAACUCACCUUGGAUGUGGUCUCUCAGCUCAGAGAACAGUAUCAUCAUAUAAACAUCAAGAAAAGCUUUACCAUUUCCCGCCCCAGCGCCACCACUCGAGCAAUCAGUUAUCACAUCCCUGACGGAAUCAGAAACGUUUGCAACAGACCAUCUCUGGUUGUGAACAUCCAAUAGUGAUAUGCCAACGGGAAGUAGUCAGAAGUGAGAAAUGAGUGUCUUUGUACAGCUGUGAGGGAGUACUUGCUCUAAAAACUUGUUGAUAUAUCCCCCUCGAUGCAGAAUGUGAAUGGCAUGAAGCACGAUGAAUGUUGCAUCACUUUGGGUUGGAUAAUAAAGGGAGUGUGACAUCAAUUAGCUGCAGAUGAAAGUAGAUGGAAAUUGGACUUUCUAGUUUCAAUUCUAAGAAUGGUUGAACCAUUUGGGGUCUUGUCUGCAGACCGAACGUUGCUGCAUUCCCUGUUAAGGGGAAGUUCACCUUGAUAAUAAGUUUGUUGCUAUUAAAACAAAAAAAGAAAUAAAUAUUGGGAACAUCUGAUGAAAAUUCCGUGAAAGAAUAAGAAAUUUAUGAAUUUUUAAGCUUUCAUAGUUUGUAACAUCAUAUGCAAGCAGCUAUUACACAUAUCA
rnacentral:misc_RNA from 1 species